rnacentral:rRNA from 1 species
UACGGGGGGGGCAAGCGUUGUUCGGAAUUACUGGGCGUAAAGGGCUCGUAGGCGGCCAACUAAGUCAGACGUGAAAUCCCUCGGCUUAACCGGGGAACUGCGUCUGAUACUGGUUGGCUUGAAUCCGGGAGAGGGAUGUGGAAUUCCAGGUGUAGCGGUGAAAUUCGUAGAUAUGGGGAGGAACACCGGUGGCGAAGGCGGCCAUCUGGACGGAUACUGACGCUGAGACGCGAAAGCGUGGGGAGCAAACAGG